AUGGAGACCAAAACUCUUAUUCUGAUCACCGUGGCCAUGACCAUGCUUGGGAUGGCACUUGGUGCCAGCCACACCGUAGGCGCACCGCACGGGUCAUGGGACCUUCAGACCAACUACUCUCAGUGGGUUUCGAGAAUCAGAUUCACCACCGGCGAUGAGCUCAAGUUCCAGUACUCCGCCGCCGUGCACAACGUGGUGGAGGUGAGCAAGACGGGGUAUGACUCCUGCAACGGCUCCAGCCCCAUAGCGACUUUCCCGAGUGGUAAUGAUGUUGUUCCGCUUGCCACCGUCGGGACCCGGUAUUUCAUCUGCGGCGUCUCUAGGCAUUGCGACGCCGGCAUGAAGGUCGAGGUCAACGUCAAGUCGAAAGAAGUGCGGACUGUGCAGCGAUGCCGACGGAGAGGGAACCGGCGUCGCUGCCAGUCCGAGACAGUAUUAAGCUCAGCUGCGGCGGCUGGCGUCGAUCAGUCCACGGUGGCCCGGCUUGGUCUGAUAGUUGUUGCGGCUGGUCUUACGUUGUUCUUUUAG
rnacentral:rRNA from 1 species